AUACGGGAGGCAGCAGUGGGGAAUUUUGCGCAAUGGGGGAAACCCUGACGCAGCAACGCCGCGUGGAGGAUGAAAUCCCUUGGGAUGUAAACUCCUUUCGAUCGGGACGAUUAUGACGGUACCGGAAGAAGAAGCCCCGGCUAACUUCGUGCCAGCAGCCGCGGUAAUACGAGGGGGGCAAGCGUUGUUCGGAAUUAUUGGGCGUAAAGGGCGCGUAGGCGGUUUGACAAGUCUGAUGUGAAAUCUCUGGGCUCAACCCAGAGUCUGCAUUAGAAACUGUCGGGCUUGAGUAUGGGAGAGGUGAGUGGAAUUUCCGGUGUAGCGGUGAAAUGCGUAGAUAUCGGAAGGAACACCUGUGGCGAAAGCGGCUCACUGGACCAUAACUGACGCUGAGGCGCGAAAGCUAGGGGAGCAAACAGGAUUAGAUACCCCGGUAGG
rnacentral:rRNA from 1 species